ACACUACUGUGUUGUUCCAGUCAGCACAUUACUCCCAACUCAAAAUCCCAUUGGUUCCCCCUGUACUCACCUGUGUGCAGAGGGCAGGCAGUAGUGGCACAAAUCAAGAACAUUGGCAAGUCUGAUAAUAAUGGUGCACAACAAGGCCAGGGAGAGAAAAUUACUGUGAUGUCCACAAAACCAAAGCAGAGAAGGAGCACACUAUACAAAGACAACAUUGGAGAGUUGCUGGAUCUGUCUGUCCUCAAAGUGCCAGAGAUCUACAAGGAACCCCUGUUUCUUCACCAUCA